rnacentral:rRNA from 1 species
AACGAACGCUGGCGGCAGGCCUAACACAUGCAAGUCGAGCGAGGACUUCGGUCCUAGCGGCGGACGGGUUAGUAACGCGUGGGAACGUGCCCUUUGCUUCGGAAUAGCCCUGGGAAACUGGGAGUAAUACCGGAUGAGCCCUUUGGGGGAAAGAUUUAUCGGCGAAGGAUCGGCCCGCGUUGGAUUAGGUAGUUGGUGGGGUAAUGGCCUACCAAGCCGACGAUCCAUAGCUGGUUUGAGAGGAUGAUCAGCCACACUGGGACUGAGACACGGCCCAGACUCCUCCGGGAGGCAGCAGUGGGGAAUCUUAGACAAUGGGGGAAACCAUGAUCUAGCCAUGCCGCGUGAGCGAUGAAGGCCUUAGGGUUGUAAAGCUCUUUCAGCUGGGAAGAUAAUGACGGUACCAGCAGAAGAAGCCCCGGCUAACUCCGUG